CUGGAAGCUCAACAUUAGUAUUAGCUAAAGACAUGAGUUGCUCAAUAGAUCGAAACCUAAACAUCUCAGUAGAAAUCAGAUGAGCAACAGCAGGAACUUCAACCAUCUUCGUAAACUCGUUUAGAUGGAUGGCCACAGGAGAAUCACAAAGCUUGAAAUAAUUGUUGCUUCUAGUCACAUCGAAUCCACUAAGCUCAAACAUAGCUCACUCCCUAAGAAGUUCUAGGAAUGUGUUCAGGCGAUGGACAUAUACAGAUGCUUCGAUGAGAUAAGACAACAAAAUAAGGAUAUUUGUAAUCAGAAGCUAGAAUCCGAAAAUAUGGACGACAUGACAACGAAGAAGUAAGACAGAAACUGGAAAAAAAAAUACUUGAUCAUCCAAAAAACCUUAUCGACGCCCAUUAGUUCACCCCCUUCUAAACAUUCCUUGCUUCCCAAAAUCAGAGUAAGCAAGCGUGUGACAACGGUUCGAGUACAACAUCAUGUCUUCAACUCGGAAAGGGAGAUCUGGGAAGCAGCCAUCGUUAUUGCAGGACUUUGUAUGAGUUAUGAGCUGGAAGGAGCGAUGAAUCUGUGAGGACCAUCAAGCUGGAGACGCUUAUUAUAGGUUCAUAAUCCCGAAGAAUCUGAAGAGAUAGAACUUUCUGGAGUAAAGAGACGUAGUGGAGGUCGAAUUAACUGUGAUUAAUUGCAAGGUUUAAUGGCACGAAGGUGAAGCCGUUACAAAGAUCUGCAGUUCGACGAAGAAACUGUGAUUAGGGUUCAAAGGAAAGCGGCGAUGAAGACAAUAGAGAAAGGUUUUUUUACGCCUGGGCCAUAUUAACCGGGGGUCGAAAUAUAACUAUUAUACAAACCCACACAAUUCAAUAUUUAGAAAGCCCAAAUAAUACAUACCGUAAAUGAAACAAAACGCAGGAGAGAGUUUGCUGACGUGGCAAAAGGAAGUCUCCUGAUUGGCUGAUUUAAUUGCUGACGUGGAUAGGCUCAAUGGAGCUCAUAUAUCCCUUUUAAUAUAGUAUAGAUUUUGGUCAUUUUUAUUUUUAGAGGCUAUAUUUGUGACAAAAAAAAUUUUAAUGCUAUCCUAGUCAUUUUCUCAUAUAUAAAUUAUUUUAAUGAAUAAUCAGUUUAGUCCCUAGUAUAAAAUAACUUUUCAACUAAAAUAAAAAAGUUGAUUUUUUUUCCAAUUUUUAACUCUUAUUUUUUAAAUAAUUUUAGAACAAAGUUUUAAGAACCAUUUCCUAUAGGUAUGUAAAUUAUUCGUGAAAUUAACAUAUUUUCAAACAUUUUAAAAAUACCUUUUAGACCUUAAAAUAUUCACAAAAAAUAUUUAAUAUAUAUAUAUAUAUAUAUAUAUUUAUUUAUUUAUUUAUAUUCUAAUCAUAUAAUUAGGAUUUAAAAUUACAUUAUGCAUGUCAAAAUUAUUUUCAAAAGUUUAUUGUAUUUUAGGAAUCACUUUAAAAUAUGCAACUAAUUCCUUAAAAUUACUUUAAUUUUUCUAUAAAUUUAAUGACAUUAUAUUAGGCUUCACAAUAUGGAGGAUUUUCAAAAAACAAUGUAUCUAAAAAUUAAUUUUGAAAUACAUCAGUAUACAUUUUCUUCACUAGUUCACAAAAAUUAGGUGACAAAUUAAAAAUCAGAAAAUUAUUUUUAUAAUUUUUACUUUGCAAAUUCUGACACAUAUAAAAAGUCUACUCGAUAUAUUCUAUUUACAAUCCAAUCUAUAUUUUAUCUCACAAUUUAUAAUUUUAAUUAAAAACACAUUUGAUUAAAAUUGAUAUAAAUUAUUUAAAUAUGAAGUUUUUAAAAUAUGUAAAUUAAUAUAAUUUAUUAAAUUUUUGGGGUAUAAAGAAAAACAGUUGAUUUAUAGUUUAGAGGAAACUUGUCAUAUCCCCGAUCCUAGAUAGGAUCACUGGGAUAUACCAUGGGACAGGGGAACAUAAAAACCAAUUGCAAAAUACAAAGGUAAAUGCUUCAUUGUCUGAAUAUUGGGUUUAUUUUGAGUCAUGUUUGAGCAUAAACAAGGAAACAAAGGAAAUUGAAGAAAUAGAGUUAGAUCGAGCUAAAGAAAUAGUGAGACUAGUUAGCCGACCUAGAAAGAACUUACGUCUGAGCUCAGUUAAAUUAGGUCAGCUAGAUCAGCUGAUAGUCCGAGCUCAACUACCAGCUGGCGGAAGCUCAACUCAGCUAGGAAGAGUGUUCGGGGGAAAUUAUGGACCAGUGGUCGAGCAUGGUUUGAUUAUAAUCGGUCCAUACUAAGGUGACAAAGCCUUAGCACAUGUGGCAAGAGUGCUAAGCAGUUGAGGCUGUUUUUGUCCGAAGAGGCGCGUAUGGACAUGUGUUUCACCUAGGAGGUAGUUGGACGAGUUUUCUCUAUAAAUACAAAGCUUUUGAUGCGAUUUUGGACACAUAAUUCGUAGGAAAAUACCCAAAAAUCAGAAAGGAAUGCAAAACAUAAGAGAGAAACUUGGUCGUGGAAAGGGGAAGAACUGAUUAGAGUCACGCUAAGAAAAAAAUCCGAAAACAGUUGUUUGAGAGCAAUCUGAACAUGGAUCCAAAGGAUAAAGGGAAAGAUGUGGGCACUCCUAAGUACACAUCCAAGGUGAGUGGAUGAACCGUCUAUGUCAUCGGCCAUAUAGUGGAUCGAUCAAAUCGGUUCUAGGGUUGAGCGGUUGAAAUCGGUUAUAUUCUUCUUUCUAACUUGACUGUUUAGUUCUUUUUCUCUGCAUCUUGACCAAUGGAGUUAGCCUUAGGGGCGAGUAAUGGACCAUGGAAGUAAUCCGGUCCGAUCAAGGGAUCCAUGUCAUAAGGGCUGGACACGUUAGAUCACAGAUCAUGGUCGAUUGGCUUAAUCAAUUUAUGGGUGACUCGGUUGUUCAGUGGUCAUGCUAGUUGAUCUAGAUAUGAAAACUGAACAUAUUUGACUUGAAUAAGUGACUAAAUAAGUCAAUAUUUAUAAAUGGGAAACUCAUGUUAGACUUAGAAACAAUCUGAAUGUAAGAUGCAUGAUAGAAACCGAACUCACUAAGCUAUCGUUAGUUUGCUUAUGAUUAUGUUGGUUUCAGGAACCAAAGGUGAUUGUGGGAAAGAAUUGUCUUAACCAUGAAGACUCAAAGCCAAGGAAGAUGGGUAGGGUGAUAGACUGGUUUAGGAUCAAACAUUAUAGUAGCUUAUUAUGCAACCUCAACAAUUGUAUUGAAUCUUUUGUUUUAUAAAUAAAGAAAUCAGUUUAUCCUAUCUAUCUAAAUUAUUCAUAUUGACUCUAAACAAUGAAUAAUAGAAUGACUGGACUGAAUGUUUUAAAGAAUAAGACCUUAAAUGGACUGAUUGGCUUAGACCACUUAAUGGUCAAGCAGUAAGAACUUCAUUUGGCUUAGAAGCCGGGUCUUACAUGGUGAAAGGUCUGUUUUACUGGAAAGAGUUAGCAAAAGGUAUACAUAUGUAUUUGAGAAGUUGUGUAUUUUGUCAGAGAUGCAAAUAUGACAUUGCGAGUCCGAAUUUAUUACAGCCUCUCCCUAUCCUAAGAACAGUUUGGAUUGAUAUUUCAAUGAAUUUCACUGAUGGUUUACCAAACUCGUUUGGUAAGACGGUGAUAUUUGUGGUCAACAGACUGAGCAAAGCUGGUCGUUUUGUGCUUUCGUCUCACCCUUUUACUGUCAAUUUUGUCGCUCAAACAUUCUUGGACAAUGUUUUCAAAUGGCACUGAUUUCCUCCUUCCGUUGUCAGUGACAGAGAUGUAAUCUUCCUCAGUGAUUUAUGGCAAGAACUAUGCAAGUUGCAAGGUUGUUCUCUGAAUAUGUUUACAGCUUAUCAUCCUCAGAAUGAUGGGAUAACUGAGGUGGUUGAUAGAUGUUUGGAAACUUACCUUAGAUGCAUGACGAGUGGUAAGCCUUAUAUUUAUAUGUGGAGUAAAUGGCUACAAUUAACAGAAUUUAGAUAUACCACCAACUAUCAUUCAUCUACCAUUAUCACUCCAUAUGAAGGUGUGUAUGGACCCCUGUUCGGAAACUCGCUGUGCUUUCCUCGUACGCUCGGGCUGGGCUUAGCGCCGAAUGAAAAAAUCGAAGAUUUUGUGGGGAUUAAUCGGCGAUUUAUUUUCGAUUUUAUAUGGUGUAUUGGUGAAAAGUCCAAAGAAGUUCACUUGGUGUAGCGGUUAAGGGAUGUUUUAAUUACUUAGCAACCCGACUUGAGCAAGGAUGAUGGCUUUUUGCCAUUUUUUAGCUAUAACUUAAAUGAGGGGUAAAUUUAUCAUUUACUUAGCAUUUUCUUCAUUAGGUUUUCUAGGUUUUCUGCAACAAAAACUCGACGGCUGUUCCAAUUUUUACGAGUUUUAGAUCGAUUUCUUUGUUUUUUUUGUUGUUUUCAAGUAAACUUCAUGAAUCUUAUGUAGAUUAGUUGUUUUGUAGGUUAAAACGAGUGAAAUUGUAAGACAUUUUAGGAACUCCGAUUUUUUGGCCGAAUUGCUCUAACUUGCCACGGUACUCAACCGUUCAGCGAUUUUCCGGGAGUUGACUCGCUAACUCGGCCGAGUUUUAGAACAGAGGUAUAGACAAAGUCCGCUGGUAUUUUAGAAAUUUCAUCUACUCAGGGUUCAACAUUGUAUGUAGCAGAUGACUGUUUCUCAUAGAAGUGAAAGAAGUUUUAAAAUUGGUGACUGGGUUUUCUUGAAUUUGCAGCCUCAUAGGCAGCAAUCAGUGGUGAUUCUCACUUCAUAGAAGCUUUGCUCUAAGUACUAUGGGCCAUACAAGACACUAGAAAAACAUGGAAAAAUGGUGUAUCGUCUGCAACUUCCGAAUUAAUGGUCAAAGAUUACACUCAGUUUUUCAUCUAUCACAACUAAAGAAGUUUGUAUGAGGGAAUCAUCUUCUACUUAAUUACCAUCCAUAGCUCAUUAUAGGGGUGAAUCCACUAAAAAAGGAAUGGUGUCACAUGACACCCUAUAAAUGUAAAAUCAUUUAAUUGUGGUUGUUUACUAUAUAAAACCAAUAUCUCAAAUGGUAAGUUUCAGGCAAUGAACUCAUGAAACUCUGGUUCGAUUCUUCUUUUGACCCCUUUUUCAUUAUUAGUAUAAAUAUUAAAUGCUCAUUGUCUUCGUUGUUGUUUUUCUAUGAACAACCAUUUUGAUGUGUAAACAUUUUUUUUCUUGAAACUAAUAGAUGUAUCAAAAUUUUGCGCUCAUUGUGUUUGAAGAUUCAUCUAUAAAAAAAUGUCUACAGGUAAAUAACAAUUCCGUGUUUGUUGAACAUUGAAUUUUAUCAGUAGAGUAAAUCAUAUUUUCCCUGUCAGGUCACAACAUGUCACGAAAAUAGUAUUAUCACAUAUAAUCAAAUCUUGCGAAAUCUGGCUAAUCUUGAAUCACGCCGAACCAACGUUUUUUCUUUCUAUAAUUCGAUUCACUAACAUCAUUCUUUAACCAAACUCAAGGAUAACUAUUGUUGAAGAUGGACUUUCGACCCCCACAUAGCUCCACCUACAUUGGUCCAUUAUGAAAAGAAAAAAGUCCGACUCAAAAUGAAUAAUCCAUCACUUUCUCUACAAAUAUAGUCACUUCAUUGAAAUAGAAACACUUUUUAAAGAGACAAGUAGAAUGUAAUUUUAUAAAAGUCUCAUCAGGAGAUGUAGAAGGUCAUGAGCCUAGCGGUCAUGUGCCUCCGGCAAGAUGCGCUGUCAUGUGCCUCCGGCGAGAUGCGCCCUCAUGUGCCUCCGGCGAGAUGCAGCGUCAUGUGCCUCCGUCGAGAUGCACUAUUAUGCUGGCGUCAUCACUUUGACGACGUUGCUAUCCAGCAGUGUUAUCCCAUGAAGCAUCACUCUGGAUUCACCAUCCAGCGUUAUUAUUCUGAUGGUGUCAGUCUGACGUCAGUUUCCAAAAUUGUUAUUGUGGCAGCAUAACUGGUGCCGUCGUAUGGUGUUACUCCCACGUUAUCAUUCUGCUUCGUCUCGCUAACAUCGCCAUUCAGAAUUAUCAAUCUGUGCCGUCUCUCCAGCAUCAUCUGGCGGUUGUUAUGGGUUAUCAUCCAGUGUCAUCACUCCAUCAUCACCAUGGCGUGUUGUCCACAUAUCUCGUCGUUCCAACCUUGUAUCAUUCAGAAUACCUACUUCGUCAUUUAGAUCAUCUCUAAUCUACCUCUAUUUACAUCUCAAUAUUUUUCUAAAAUAGAAAAUCUUUAUUACUGAGGUAGAUUUGCUCCAAUGUACACAUUUAUAAUCACCUUUAUAAUAGAGUUUCCCUAUUUAUAAAUGAAAAUAUAGAAAAAUGUUAUUACCAUCACUAAAUAUAAAGACAAAAAGUAGUAUUCCUCUGUAUGUUUCUCUAAAAUAGAUGAACUCAUUAUAGAGUCAUACAUUGGAGCAAAACCAGCUCUAUUAUAGAGAUCUAUAUUUUAGAAGAAAAUAUAGAUAUAUACAUUGGAGAUGAAGAUAAACUAAAAUCACCUCUAAAAUGAAAUAUAAAUGGCUUAAUCUUUAUUAUAAUAGUUAGGCCUAGGCAAAAAUACGGAACCAAAGAACCGUACCAGAAUCGAACCAAAUUACCUGAAACGGGAACCAAAACGAAACCCUUCAAUACCCGAACGGUUUCUAUAUUUCUAUAUCUGAAAUAACCAAAAUAAACCGAGAACCGAACAGAUACCCGAAUAUAUAAAAUAUUAAUUAUAUAUUCAUAUAGCAUAACUAAAUAUAUAUUUAUAAUUUAAAAAUUUAUUAAAAGUAUCCAAAAUUAUUUGAAAAUAACUAAAUAAUUAAAAAAUAUCCAAACUAUCUGAAAGUAUCUGAAACUAUUUGAAAGUAUUUGGAUAGUUUUAUUAGAAAUAUCCAAAUUAAUCCGAGAUAUUCAAAAAUUUAACCUAAAUCAUCGUAAUUAUUUGAUAUUUUACCCUGAAUUUUUGGAUAUUUUGCGGUUCUUAGUUUUAUUAUCUGAGCCGAACCAAAAAUAGGUCAGGUAGUAAAUGGAUCCUUUAGUCCUCUAUCUGAACUAUCUUAUACCCGAAAUGCUCGAAUCAAACUGAACCGAUACCUGAAAUGCUCAUGCCUAAUAAUAGUACAUAGACAAUCUUUUCACAAAGGUGCAGUUAUAAUUAGCAAGAUUUGCUGAAAUUCUACAUCUUACAUUGAUUCUUUGUCUUUAAUCGAAUAUAAUGUUUGUUGAUUUUACCCAUUUUCCCUUUUAGUAGUGUCUUUUCCUUCAUUUUGUCAGAAAAGUUUGCAAAAUAUUGAUGUUGUCUGGCGCCGGCCUUACGUGGAAGGAGAGCAAGAAUGUGCUUGGAGCCUUUCAUCAUCAUAAGUAUUUAAAGGGGCAAUAAUUUCCCAAGUCUGUGUUGGAUCAGUUAGAAAUAAAAGAUUUUGGUGUAGAGCUGAAAGUUUCGGUUCCAUCCAACAUUUCUCAAUGUUUUUGAAUUAUUGGAUGUCACGUCAGGGCAGGCGCCGAUGUUGUCCGUAUCGCAGGUUUUCUUUGCACCAUAGGUCGACGUCAUGGUAGUAUCAUCGCAGAUGCCAGUGUCCCGUAUAUAUAUACAUAUAUGUUUGAAUUUUAGAAAAUUGAGUACCUGCGAAUUUUGAUUUGUAAAACUCAUAUACAAAGCAGAUUUCCACAUCAUCAGUCUCCAAAAAUACCUUUUUGUACAUAAGUAACAUAACUAUAACUUUUUGUUUGUACAACUCUUCCAAAGAUAAUCAUGUGUAUCCUUAAACCUAUAUAUAAAAGGGGGAGAAGUUAAAGUCUUCCGCCAAAACCUCCUUGGAGAUAACGAUCUAAUUAAAUAACAAAGAUACUCAAGAUUUGUUCGUGUUGAUUUCCCACUCAUUAUGUCAUCAUUCAGCAAUAUCCUUACCACAAGUCAAAUGACUUGAAGAUGGGUAUAAUCUAAAGGAGUUCUCAUGUGUGUUGUAGAACUACAAACUCUAUUCCCUUGUUUAUUAGAUUCUCACAAACAUGUUGGUGUUCUCUGUACCUCGAUUUUUCUUCACAACAUGGGUUAUUGUAGUUUCCCUGCAGAUGCAUGGAUAUAGAAGUUGCAUCGAGAAGGAAAGGAAGGGAUUGUUAGAGCUGAAUGCCUAUGUCAACUCCGAGUUUCCGUAUGAUUGGCCUAAUGACACGGACAGCGACUGCUGCCAAUGGGACAGAGUCAAGUGUAAUUUUACAACUGGAAGUGUGGUUGGCCUCUUCUUGAAUUCUACAUACACCGUUCGUCCCCUGCUAAAUCUUUCAUUGCUCUAUCCUUUUCGAGAACUAAAGACUCUAAAUUUAGAUUAUUUCAACUCCACAGGCUGGUUCGAUAAUAUCCAUGGUAUAUCUCUGGAUUCAGUUUUUUUUCAUCUCUGUGGCUAACUUUCUAUCUACACAUUUCAAAAUUUUAUUGGGUUUUGUUUUGUAGGUUAUAAAAGCCUUGGGAAAUUGAAAAAGCUUGAGAUCCUUGAUCUAAGAGUGUGAAUGGUGAGGCAGAUCGUUAGCAGAUGUCCUGCACAUUAGUAUUUUUUGUACUGCCACAGCCAAUCACAGUUUUUAACUUUUCCAGAAAAGAAAAGCAGGAGACCUGCCCAAUGGGUGGGAGAUAAAAAAAGAAGGUGCAUUAACUUUGUGCUGUCUUGUGCCUCAAUCAUUAUUUUCAGCUUAAGGGUGGAAGUUAAAAAAGACUGUCGUAGAUUUGUGCUAUCCUCUGCUAAUAGUGUUGUGCCUCAAUUCUCUCCAACAUAAGGUAAAUUACUUUUUAUUGUUAUUGUUAUUUAUAUUUAAUUAAUUAUAUUAAUUAUUUUUGUUCAAAUAUAAUAUAUCGUAAUAAGAAUAUUUAUUUGGAAAACUCUCUAUAUAUAUGAUACAUUUUGGUUUUUUUGAACGUUUUAUUUUAGAGUUUAAGCUAUAUUUUAUGCAUGUAAAAAAAUAAUAUAACUAUAUAUAUAUAUAUAUAUAUAUAUAUUAACUGAAAAGAGAAAAUGUGUCAUAUUUUAAUUCAACCUAUUAAAAAUUGAAAGUAUAUAUAAAAAGAGAGAUAUUUUGAAAAAUAUAUUUUCAAUGUAAAACAUAUACAUGUAAAUUAUUAGUAUAAUACUUUAUACUUGUAUCAAUUGGAAAAAGAUAUGUGUUACAUUUUAAUUCACAUAAAAUGUAAAACCGAAAAUAAAAAACAAAUAAAUAUAGAUGACAUUAUAAUUAUUUUUUUAGAAAGUAAUACAUUUAUUAUUAAGAUAUUAUUUCUAAAUUUAUCAGUCAUAAAUUAAUAUGAUUUUGUACGAAAAAAUGAUUUUGUAUUAUAAAAUCAAUAUAAACAUCUCCAUUUUUUUAAUAUAGAUUUUAUGGUUAAAUUUAAAUAUCAACUUGGAGAUCAUUUUAGGAAAUCAUGUGCUAUUCUUGAUUCCAACGGUCUUUGAUAUCUACCAAAAUCCACAUGCAUGUUUAACUAUCAAACUGAUUUUAAAUCUAUGUUUUCAUGUUUUGCUUAUAAAGAUAGUUCCUAAUUAGAUCGAUCUAAUAUUAUUUAUAAAAUUUUAAAAUUGUAGAUAUGACGUCAAAUCAUCGACAAAGUACAACAUUUUCUGAUGAAGAAGAUAUAAAUCUACCUACUGAAACGUCAGUACGGGUAAUUAUAUAUUAUUUUUUUAACGUUUUAGAAUAGUUAAUAAAUACUAAAAUAAAAUGAUUCAAAAUUGUGUAAAUUUAUAGAGGGAAGACAAUUUUAAAUGGAAUCCUAACCGAGAACGAGUAUUUAUUGAGUUGUACGAUCGAGCGAUUUCCAUGAGCGAUUAUCGUUUCAAAGAUCCUACAUCCGCCGGUAAAGAGUUUGUCGUUGCUAAGUUCAACCAAAUGUAUAAUAUCAGCGUAAACUACCGGUUCUUCAAAGAAAAACUUGAUCAGCUGAAAAGAAAAUACAAAAAGUACAAGCAUCUAAUGAAAAAUUCUACGGGUAUUUCGGUUGAUCCUACGACAUCUGUGAUAUCUGCGUCUGAUUCAUGGUGGAAAGAUCGUGAAGUAAGUACAAACAAUAUCCAUUACAACCAAAAUAUAUUUAAAAAAUAACAUAUCUAUAAUAUUUGUAAGCUAAAAACUACAUAAUCUUAUUAACAGGUAGAUAGGAUUGUAAAAUCAUUUAAACGAAAACCACCGGAGCUUUGGGAUGUGAUGCAACGAUGUUUCGUAUUAUACGACGUCCAAUCACAAUCUCAAUACUCCUUGCACCAAAGAAGAGAAGAGUUGCUGAAUGAUGGUCAAAAUAAUGAUGAAACUGAAACAUAUGGCGGUGAUAUGCAAGACACUCAGGUCCAGGAGACACAAGAAAGCGAAGAAGUCUAUCGCGUUAAUAUUGAUGAUGAAAUGCGUCAUUCAAAUCAGUUCACCCGUGAGAAUUUGCGUCAGAAUUCUUCACCAGCUGCUGAUCAUUUUCAGAUUCCUACUUCUAGAGUUCAACAACGAAGUGGACUAAGGCGUGGAAGUAGUUCACAAAGAGGUGCAGGAACCUCCCGGAUCGCUGCCAGGAGUGGAUCCCAAGGAAGUCGUAGAAAACAAUCAUUCGAGACAACUCUGACAGAUACGAUGACGGGCUUUAGAGAGUUUCAGCGCCAAAGUUUGCAACAACUACGUCCAAAUUCUUUUGAUGAAGAUGAUUACAAUGAAUUCGAUAAUGCGGUGAAGAUAUUCGAAUCAAUGGAUCUUCCAAAUGACACCAAUUUCUAUUGGGCGUGCAUUCAUGCAUUUAAAGAAGAAAGAUUUUGGCGUAAGUACUUUAUUGACAGAGCCGAAAGAACCACAUAAGAUAAGUUGAAGUUUUUACAAGCUCUUAGUGGAUAUACACCGGACGGCGAAUUCGUGGGAAAGCGGUUAGAAUCUGGCCAAAAGUUUGGUAGUCCAACUUGUGGGCAAUGGAAUUCUGGUUUUCAACAAUGGGGAACACCUCCAAGUGCCCCGCAAUGGGGAACACCGCCAAAUGCGCCGCAAUGGAGUUCACCUUCAAAUGCUCCGCAGUGGGGUCCACCGCCAAAUGCUCCACAAUGGGGUACACCGCCAAAUGUUCCGCAGUGGGGUACACAACCUUUUCCACAAUGGGGUGCGCCUCAAAAGGAAGUUCCUGUUUCCGAGAAUGUUAUCAGAGGAGUUUCACCAGAAUUCACAAACUAUGCUUCUACAAGUAAAGCAUCACGUCCACGAAGACGAGGAGGAUUAUUCAAUAUCUGGGGAACUGAACGAGGACUAAAUCUAAAUGAAACACAAGAAAGUGAUUCCACAUCGGAUAACUAGCUUAAUAAGAUUCGUGCUUUGUUUGUAGUCGUUAUGUUUUGUUUUAUAUUUUCUUUUGUAAUGUCUGUUAUGUAUUGUAUUUUUGAUUAAGGAUAUUUCUCAUUGAUUUAAUUUUUUAUUUUGUGGUUAAAAUUUUCAGGCUUUU